GGAGUAUAGCUCAGCUGGUUAGAGUGCUUGCUUGACAUGCAAGAAGUCACUGGUUCAAGUCCAGUUAUUCCC
rnacentral:tRNA from 1 species